rnacentral:rRNA from 1 species
UUGAUCUCAGGUCGGGCGGGAGCACCCGCCAAAUUUAAGCAUAUAACAAGGCGGAGGAAGAGAAACCAACGAGGAUUCCCUUGGUAGUGGCGAGAAAACCAGAAAUAGCCCAGACUGAAAAUUUGGGGGCUCUGUUGCUCCAUGAAUUGUAGUCUUGAGAGGCAACCUCUGCAUUAGGCCGUGUGCAGGUUCCCUGGAAGGGGACGCCGAAGAKGGUGACAGCCCCGUCGACCGCCGGACCCUGCUGCACAACGAGGUGUUCUCCAAGAGUCGAGUUGCUGGGAAUGGAGCCCCAAUUGGGUGGUAAGUCCCAUCCAAGGCUAAAUAUGUGUGAGGGACCAAUAGCGAAGAAGUCCCGGGAGGGAAGGAUGAAAAGAACUUUGAAAAGAGAGUUAAAGAGUGCCUGAAAUUGCCGAGCGAGAAGCGGAUGGAGGGAAAGUCGUGCGCUCCCGUCAGGGCAGGGGUGGACGGCGACUAUGUUGUCGGCCCCCUUGUUGGACGUGAGGUGCCUGCCAACAUGGGCUGCUGCGACCGACAUUGCGGUAGGGAGCGAUUGAAACCCCCCAUGAGUGGUCGUCACUGCAGUCGAGGACCUUGAGCACGUUCCUCUUUCGGCGGGCCCGUUCGGGUUCUUGCGUGUUCGGGAUGCUAGCGAAAUUACUCUAUGCUGCCCGUCUUGAAACACGGACCGAGGAGUUCAACGUGCACGCGAGCCGGUGGGUGAUUAGCCCAUGAGGCGGAAGAAACCUGAGUGGCAGGAACCCUCUGCGGGUGCACCGUCCGCCAACCACGAUCUGUUGUGAGAGGUUUGAGCGUAAGCAUGGCCAUUGGGAUCCGAAAGAUGGUGACCUAUGCCUAAGCAGGGCGAGGCCAGAGGAAACUCUGGUGGAGACUUGCACCGAUACUGACGUGCAAAUCGUUCGUCGGACUUGGGUAUAGGGGCGAAAGACUAAUCGAACCGUCUAGUAGCUGGUUCCCUCCGAAGUUUYCCUCAGGAUAGCUGGAGCUGUUGAACAGUUUUAUCGGGUAAAGCGAAUGAUUAGAGGCCUCGGGGGUGAAACACCCUCGACCUAUUCUCAAACUUUACAUAGGAAAGAUUUCUGGGUUGCUUAAGCGAACCCGGAGAAUCAAUGAAAGCUCCAAGUGGGCCAUUUUUGGUAAGCAGAACUCACGAUGCGAGAUGAACCAAAAGUCGAACUACGGUGCCAAACUCCGUGCUAACCUAGACACCACAAAGGGUGUUGAUUGAUACAGACAGYAGGACGGUGGUCAUGGAAGUCGAAAUCUGCUAAGGAGUGUGUAACAAGUCACCUGUCGAAUCAAUCAGCCCCAAAAAUGGAUGGCGCUGAAGCGUGCGACCUAUCCUCGGCCGUCGCGGCGAUUCUGACGCCGCGACGAGUAGGAGGGCGGGGGGCCUGUUGUGAAGCCUGGAGUGUGAGCCUAGGUGAAGCGGGUCCUGGUGCAGAUCUUGGUAAUAGUAGCAAAUAUUCAAAUGAGAACUUUGAAGACCGAAGUGGAGAAGGUUCCAUGUGAACAACGGUUGGACAUGGGUCAGUCGGCCCUAAGAGAUGUGGAAACCUUGUAUCAAGGGCGCACUGCGCGCCCCACAUCGAAAGGGGGUCGGGUURAUAUUCCCGAACCGGGUUGUGGAGGUGGACGGUAACAUAAGCGGCUCCGGAGAUGUCGGCGGGGGCCGUGGGGAGGGUUCUCUUUCCUUCUUGAUGGCUCACCCACCGUGGAAUCGGAUCAACCGGCGAUAGGAUGCAGCGCCCGACAAAGCACCACGCGUCCUGUGGUGUCUAGCGCGCCCCCGACGGCCCUUGAAAAUCUGGAGUUGAGGGUACCUCUCACGCCCGGCCGUACUCAUAACCGCAUCAGGUCUCCUAGGUGAGCAGCCUCUGGUCAAAGGAAGAAYGUAGGUAAGGGAAGUCGGCAAUAUGGAUCCGUAACCUUGGGAAAAGGUUUGGCUCUACGCUGGGCCUAGGGGUCUGCGCCUCGUUGUUGUUGGCUGCUGGUGGUCUGCCCAAGCUGCUAUCCGAGUUGAGGCGAAGGCAGAGCCCGCGUGCCAGUGUGCCGACGGGCGUAGAAUGUCUUAUGUCCCCACCUUUAGGGUGGGGCCGUGGGACUCUCCUUAAGCAUCAAACUGCCGACUCGGAACUGGUGCGGACAAGGGGAAUCCGACUGUUUAAUUAAAACAAAGCAUUGCGAUGGUCCCAACAGAUGUUGACGCAAUGUGAUUUCUGCCCAGUGCUCUGAAUGUCAAAGUGAAGACAUACUACUACUUUUAACGUUAUUUUAAACGUAUGUACAUAGUACACUUUUAACUUUAUUUUACUUAUUUCGUGAGGGUCUUACGGCGCAAGUGAAAUACUACUACUUUUUAUCGUUCUUACUUAUUUCGUGAGGUGGAGCUGGGGCUCUGCCCCUGCUUCUCGGUCCAAGGUGCAGGCCCUCAUGGCCUGUCCGAUCCAAGCGAAAGACAUUGUCAGGUGGGGAGUUUGGCUGGGGCGGCACAUYUGUUAGAAGAUAACGCAGGUGUCCUAAGAUGAGCUCAACGAGAACAGAAAUCUCGUGUGGAGCAAAAGGGCAAAAGCUCAUUUGAUUUUGAUUUCCAGUACGAAUGCGAACUGUGAGAGUGUGAGUGGCGGAUGGCCCAGUGGUUAGGGCACCAGUUGGAAAUGCACAUUGUGGUCUGAGGUUGCGGGUUCAAAUUCGCAACCUUGUGCAUAUUCCACCGGCACGGCGUUAGGUUGACAC